rnacentral:rRNA from 1 species
AACGAACGCUGGCGGCAGGCCUAACACAUGCAAGUCGAGCGAGAUCUUCGGGUCUAGCUGCGGACGGGUGAGUAACGCGUGGGAAUAUGCCCUUCUCUGCGGUAUAGCCUCGGGAAACUGAGCGUCAUACCGCAUACGCCCUUUGGGGGUAAGAUUUAUCGGGGCAGGAUUAGCCCGCGUUGGAUUCGGUAGUUGGUGGGGUACCGGCCUACCAAGCCGACGUUGCAUAGCUGGUUUGUGAGGAGGAUCAGCCACACUGGGACUGAGACACGGCCCAGACUCCUACGGGAGGGAGCAGUGGGGAAUCUUAGACAAGGGGGGCAACCCUGAUCGAGCCAUGCCGCGUGAGUGAUGAAGGCCUUAGGGUUGUAAAGCUCUUUCAGCUGGGAAGAUAAUGACGGUACCAGCAGAAGAAGCCCCGGCUAACUACGUG